rnacentral:rRNA from 1 species
AUUGAACGCUGGCGGCAGGCCUAACACAUGCAAGUCGAGCGGAUGACGGGAGCUUGCUCCUUGAUUCAGCGGCGGACGGGUGAGUAAUGCCUAGGAAUCUGCCUGGUAGUGGGGGACAACGUUUCGAAAGGAACGCUAAUACCGCAUACGUCCUACGGGAGAAAGCAGGGGACCUUCGGGCCUUGCGCUAUCAGAUGAGCCUAGGUCGGAUUAGCUUGUUGGUGAGGUAAUGGCUCACCAAGGCGACGAUCCGUAACUGGUCUGAGAGGAUGAUCAGUCACACUGGAACUGAGACACGGUCCAGACUCCUACGGGAGGCAGCAGUGGGGAAUAUUGGACAAUGGGCGAAAGCCUGAUCCAGCCAUGCCGCGUGUGUGGAGAAGGUCUUCGGAUUGUAAAGCACUUUAAGUUGGGAGGAAGGGUUGUAGAUUAAUACUCUGCAAUUUUGACGUUACCGACAGAAUAAGCACCGGCUAACUCUGUG